UCGGUGUGAUGGUAUGUGCUUUUAAUCCCU
rnacentral:piRNA from 1 species